rnacentral:rRNA from 1 species
GAUAAACGCUGGCGGCGUGCUUCAGGCAUGCAAGUCGAACGGACCUUCGGGUCAGUGGCGGACGGGUGAGUAACACGUAAGCAACCUGCCCAGAAGUGGGGAAUAACCCACCGAAAGGUGAGCUAAUACCGCAUGUGAUGUGCCUUCCCUGGAGGACCCAUUAAAGGCUUCGGUCGCUUCUGGAGGGGCUUGCGUUCGAUUAGCUAGUUGGUGGGGUAAUGGCCUACCAAGGCUGCGAUCGAUAGCUGGUCUGAGAGGACGGACAGCCACACGGGGACUGAGAUACGGCCCCGACUCCUACGGGAGGCAGCAGCUAGGAAUCUUGGGAAUGGGCGAAAGCCUGACCCAGCAACGCCGCGUGGGCGAUGAAGGCCUUCGGGUCGUAAAGCCCUUUUGAGGGGGACGAUGAUGACGGUACCCCUCGAAUAAGCCACGGCUAACUACGUGCCAGCAGCCGCAGUAAAAC